rnacentral:lncRNA from 1 species
UGUUUUUUUUUUUGUUUUGUAUUUGAGUAUUUCUAAUGCCUUUAAAGCAGAUAGAUAGCUUUUACAAUAAAAUAUCGAUUUGUUGUGUUGAUUGGCAAUGAUUAUAGAUGAAGAGUUUGGUGAGUUCUUAGGUUUCUCAAUGAUUAUAGAUGAAGAGUUUGGUGAGUUAUUAUUCUCCAUGUUUUGUUGUGUCACCUUAUGAUACUACAUGUCUAAAGGGCUGUUCGUUUGGUUGUCGCAGGUACCGGCGGCAGCGUCAGCGUCAAUAUUCUGCGUCAACUCUUGUUCGUUUCGUUGACGCAGGAACCGACGGCAGCGGCAGCAUCCGAACGCUGCGUCCUGCGGCUGACGCCGAUAAAAUAUGCGGUCGCAAUAUGAUAUGCGGCAGCGUCAGCGGCAGCGUCUGCGAAACGAACAACAACUGUCCUCAUUGACGCUGCCGCCGCCGCUGACGUUGCUGCUGCUGCUGACGCCGAAAUCUGCGGCAACCAAACGAACAGGGCUUAAGUAGUUUAUUGGAUCAUAUCCUCAAAUAAACCACAUGAAAUGUAUAUAGUUUAUGGAAAUAAGUGGUAAUCUCAUGCAUGGACUAGCUUUUUUAUUACAUCAAAUGUCUAAUAACUUUUUUGUUUGUGGUGACACAAGAAAGCUAGAAAGCUUGAGCUGGCUCCUGUGACUUGUGAGGAGAACAGCUCUUGCGAAGAAGACAUCAAUGAACCUUUUCUUCUCGAAAUGACGACCAGAGUUUAUUGAUUUGUUUUUGGUGCAGAAAACAAAACUGCAAUAACGUCACUGUCAAGUCUCAACAUACUCAGGUAUGCCUUUGCUUCAUUGGUGCCUUCUUCUCGUUUUCCGAUUUUCCAAAUACAGCUAAUAUAUUUUUUCUUGCAUAAUUCUUCGAAUAUGCCUCUCUGUUAACAGCUGUAUCCAAAAGCUGAAUUUUAUAUAAAUAAAAUUCUUGUAUGAUUUUUUAAGAAGAAAAAAAAAGAAUCCAUUCUUUAAUUUAAGAGAAUAAGAAUCCAUAUUCUAUACAUUGACACGGUUUCCUUCGUUUUUCAAAAUUUCAAUUACUUUUAGUAAAAUAUAAUGCAAGUAUUUUAUACUUCCAACUUCCAAAUUUUCAAUGCGAGCGUUCCUUUUGCGAAACUUAUCCUUAAAGUUAUUUAUUUUAUUUGUUUAUAGAAAAAUAACUAAAAAGUAUCGGCUUGUACCGGAGGAGGUUGGUGAAUUUUUAUCCGUCUCUUGGUACCCUUUUGUCGUUUAGCAAUUCUCCACCUAAUCCAGAGCUUCCAAUAAAACAUAGCCAUAGCAAUUAUAUUUAGCUCUCAUAUAUAUUAAUUCUUUAAAUUCUUAUCUAAUAACUAUAUUUGUAAUUGUAAGUACUUAUCUUCCUUUGUGAUUGAUUAGUUCGUAAAAGUUAUUCAAAUUCAUUUUCUCAAAAAAAAAAGUUAUUCAAAUUCAGUAUAGGUUUAUAUAACAAGAUAUACUUGUUUGGAAUAAACAAUGCAUCGCAUUUGGUCAUAUAUAUUUCUACAAAUUAAUAAAAUCUUUGAUAUCAUAACGAGCAAAUGUGAUGUGUGGAAGUGUGGAAUUAUAAGGUUUGGCUGCAUGGCAUAAAUACCGAAGGAGAAUUGAAGUUGUGUGUGGAGAAGAGUAAGGUACACGUACCUUUCACUCUCUAACCCUGUCCAUGGCAAUAGUCCACCUGGCUUGUCUAUGUGGCCUGUACACAAUUAUUAUUUUGUAAUUUUAUCGUGUUAUGGUAUUUUAGGGUUUCAAUGCAUUGAUUUUCAUUUUGAGGUUUAUGUAUAUCCGAGGGGAUGGAUUGGAUAUGUUUUAGCCAAUUAAAAUGGUUGAUAUUGAAACAUUAAUUGGAACCUAACCUAAAUAAGAGAAGAAACAUACUACUCAAAAAGUAAUAAAUGUAUGGUUGCAUUGCAUGCAAAACUCCCCCACAAUGGAGUUGACUUCCAGUGAUCAGUUUUCACUAUUAGAUUGCGUAUUUGUUUUGUAUUGGUUAGUUCCGUGUCAAACUCCAAUGCUAUAUUUGGGACUCUGCAUGACACUAUUUAAAUCGCUCAUCAAGUCUUUUUCUUUCAACCAUAAGUGAAAUGAUAGUCCAAAACAAUGUAUUUUGUUACUAGUCUUCAUAAUUGCUUUUUUAAUGUUAAAUAGUUAUACUUCAUGCCAUCAUUUAAUAAUAAUUUUAUCUACCGAUCAUGUCUUCUUGCUCUGUACUAUAAAAAAGAGUCGACCUCUUCUUCAAAUUCAAAAGCAGAGUCAUACAGAUAUAUCCGCCAUGAAAACGUGUUGCAUCUUCUUCAUCUACUUGGCGAUUAUUCUCCAACACUGUUUCUACUUCUCUGUUUCGUCAUCAUCACCUCUUCUUCUCCCCCUCUCUCACUCUCUCUCGACCUCAAAACACUCUUCAUCUCCUCUCCACCUCCUCAAGUCAUCUUCCUCCCGCUCCUCCGAGCGUUUCCGCCGCCACCACCAAAAACGCCAACAACAUCAACUUCCCCUCCCACUAUCUUCCGGCAGCGAUUACCUUCUCUCCCUCUCCGUCGGCUCCUCCUCCUCCGUCUCUCUUUACUUAGACACCGGAAGCGACCUCGUCUGGUUCCCUUGCCGCCCUUUCACCUGCAUCCUCUGCGAAUCCAAACCUCCUCCUUCUCUGACCUCCCUCUCCUCCUCCGCCACCACAGUCCCCUGCUCCUCCCCUUCUUGCUCCGCCGCACACUCCUCCCUCCCAUCCUCCGACCUCUGCGCCAUCUCGAACUGUCCUCUCGACCUCAUCGAAACCGGCGAAUGCAACAACUCUUCCUACCCUUGUCCUCCUUUCUACUACGCCUACGGUGACGGCUCCCUCGUCGCACGUCUCUUCUCCGACUCGCUCUCACUCCCUCCCCUCUCCGUCGCUAACUUCACCUUCGGCUGCGCUCACACCACUCUCGCCGAACCCAUCGGCGUCGCUGGCUUCGGACGCGGACGCCUCUCUGUCCCCGCUCAGCUCGCCUCUUUCGCCCCUCACCUCGGUAACAGCUUCUCUUACUGCCUCGUCUCCCACUCGUUCGACUCGGAGCGAGUCCGCCGCCCGAGUCCACUCAUCCUCGGACGCUUCGUCGAGGAGAAAGAGAAACGUGUCGGAGCCGAUGAUGAUCAUAAGGAGAAGGUCGAGUUCGUCUACACAGAGCUGCUUGAUAACCCCAAGCAUCCUUACUUCUACUCUGUUUCCCUCCAAGGAAUCUCCGUCGGAAAACGGAAUAUUCCUGCUCCGGCGAUGCUCAGACGAGUGGAUAGGAACGGAGGCGGAGGAGUGGUCGUUGACUCGGGGACGACUUUCACGAUGCUUCCCGCGAAAUUCUACAAUUCGGUGGUGGAGGAGUUCGACAGUCGGGUCGGGCGGGUACACGAACGGGCUGAUCGGGUCGAACCGAGUUCGGGAAUGAGUCCUUGCUACUAUCUUAACCAGACGGUUAGAGUUCCGGCUCUGGUUUUGCAUUUUGCCGGGAAUGGUUCCAGUGUUACGCUCCCCAGGAGAAAUUACUUUUACGAAUUUAUGGACGGUGAGGAUGGGAAGGAAGAAAAGAGGAAGGUUGGAUGUUUGAUGCUGAUGAACGGUGGAGAUGAAUCGGAGCUUCGAGGUGGGACCGGGGCGAUACUGGGGAAUUACCAGCAACAAGGUUUCGAAGUCGUGUAUGAUUUGUUGAAUAGAAGGGUCGGGUUCGCUAAGAGGAAGUGCGCAUCUUAUUGGGAUACGCUCAAUCAAAGCUAACGAGCGCGCGUUAUCCAAUCCCAGCUUCAAUCUUUUAAAUAAGUCAAUGUGCGCCUUACCGGUUCGACCGAAAACCGGAUGAUGGGUCUUAUCGAACAGUAAUUAUGAUAUCGAGCUGUAGCCUGUACGUAAAAAUAGCUGUAGGUUUAAUAAUUCGAUGGACCUGUCAUCUAAAAGUAUAUAGAAGGGUGUAUCAUGUACAUGUAUGACCGGUUUUGAAACGUUGUAGAUAUAUAUUUUUUUAAUUUAAGGCCAUUUGUAGUAUUAUGUUUCGUUUAAAGAUUUUAUUCAUUAUAAAAAAAAAGUUAAAAGUUUGGGUGUUAUUCAUUAUUGGUACGCGUCGCAUUAACAACUAACUGAGAACCAGACGGAUCAAAUAAAAUCUUAAACGAUGUCGGCAAUUUAGUCAAAGUUUUGCUUGUAAACCAAUUAGACCACACCUACAAGUGACUACUAUAAUUUGUGAUAUUUCAUAAGAUAUCACUGUCUUCAUAGAUAUUUAACGAACAAAAACAAACGAGUAACUCAAUUAUUUGGCUUAGUGUCACUAUUUAGUUGGAGGAAAAGAAGAUGGCUUUGAAUCUUUUUGAUAAUUAUGAAUCAGAUGACUAGACAAAAGGAUUGACAGGCGAGCAUACGUGGCGGCGGAUUACGACCAGCAAGACUAGCAAGCACUAGUCGUUCGUUAAUCUUAAUUAUUGAUUUGCUUUUCAACUUACGAAGAUAAAAUUUUGUUAUCCAAGUUUAAAACUUCAAGAGGGAUUGGCUCGGAGUCCAGAGACAGCUAGCUGUGAUCCACACGUGUGCUUAUAGAUUCUUUCCGCAUUUUUAUGUAGGAGUGUAGGACCAUUCAUUACAAAAUAACGAAGAACAAACCAUCUCAAAAGUUUUUUUUUACACUAAAUGUAUCCAUUGUUUUAUUGGUUUUCAGACAUGUUUUGUUGUAGCCAACUUAGCAUAUAAUUAGAGUUUCUGGCGAAUUUAGUUGUAGCCUGUUAACCAGGUGAUCUAUCCGUCUUCAUAGCACGUGUCCACUGAUCAGAUGGAGAAACUUUUUUUACUAUUUUGUCGAGUUAUUUGAUCAGCUGUCCAAGCGUGUAUUGGGAUUCUUCAGCGCUUUGGCAGUUUGGCGAUUCCUCUCUCCAAAUAUGAUUAAAAAGUUUUUUAUUUUUAUAAAAAAAACAUGUAUCAAAAUAUAUGUCAAAUUUUCUAAUGUUAGGUUGUCGAUAUAAACGAUAGUAUAUAGUCCCAAUCAGACAUGUAAUGCUGCUGCUGCCUGCAGGAGGCCACCCGCCAAAAAAUACAAACCAGACCUGUUUUGAAUAGUGACAUGUAAAGAACAUAUGGCUUUGUAUUUUUUUUGCGGAUAUCCACAAAAAACACAUUCCAAUAGCCGGCAUGCAGUCCAUUGUAACAUUCAGCCUCCAGUUGUUAGACGAUUGUAUAUGGCUAGCCAUAUUUCAAAGGAUAAUUUUGGUGUUAAAUGCUUGAACCAAACUUCUUAAUAUUACUUCUUAACUGCUUGAACCAAAGGAGUAAUAUAAUUGCUAGCUAUUUGUACACUCUCGAUCAUAGAUUUUUUUUGAAACCAUUAAAACUGUUACAUUAAACACAUCGACUAAAAGCUACUCUCUCCGUUCCACAAAGAUAGACUUUUUAGUGUUUUCACACAUACUAAUAAAACACAUUAAAUUGCCAUAAUAAAUAUAUCGUUUUCUGUAAUUUUCAAUUUUCAAUAAAUUUUAAUUCAUAGUAAUUCAAUAAAAUUAAUUAAUUUUUUGAAAUUUAUAAUUUUUUCAUAAAAACACACAAAAAUACAUUUUUCGAAACCAAACUUUUUUUCUAAAAAGUUUAUCAUCGAGAAACAAACGGAGGGAGUAUUCUAUAUGUUAUAGGUUUAUGUUAUCAUGUGAUUCAUGUCCAUAUAUAAAAGCAUCACCCCGAACCCAAGAGAAAACCAUCACCCAAAUUAGUUUGUGAAGUGGGCUUACAUCCGAUUAAUAUAAGGCCAUUUAAAACUUAAAGAUAGUAUUAUGCAUCAUGAUUCAUGCAUAGUCCUGAGAGCAUAGCUCUGCGAGCCUAUGCUAGAUCAUUAGUAGAUGCCUUGUUCUAAAAAGCGGCCGAGUUGCCGAGUAAUCGUCCGCAAAAUUGUGAAGCGUUGGGUCACCGUAGCGAGUUUGGCCAGUUCGGAUGCAUUCCACGCUCACCCGCGUUUUGACCGCCCAGAACGUGAUUUAAGGUUAUACGGCCGCGUAAUGUUUUUUUCUUUUAACUACCGCCGCGUAAUUUUGUUUCCGGAAACCUCAAAAAUCUCUGAAGAUGUUUCUAUUUGUAGAUCUGAUGUAAUUAUAGUGUACAAAUCAAGAAAAUCAAGUGAAAACAAAAAAAAAGAACAAAGAAAGAACCAUGGAUGGCCAUAGUUUAAUCGCAGAACCAAAGAAAAAAGAAGAAGAUGAAGACGUACGUGUAUCUUUUUAUAUUUAUUAAAACAAAGUAAAUAAUAAAAAACUAUAAAACACCAUAAUUCACGGGUUGAACCACAUUUUAGUAGGUCCAAAAGGUUUAACCAAAACAAUUGACCUAAGUUUUAAUAAUAUUUGGAAUCCACAAAUGAAGAUAUGUACUAGUGAGUACUAUAACCAUAAAAAAAAAUCCCCGAUUACUCCCCGAUUUAUUUCCGAUUUUUCGAUAAAUCGCUAGGCGCUGGUCAUCCGCACGCGUUGCGCCUAGCGAGUUUCCGAACAAGGAGUAGAUGUAUAGACACUGUUAACAAAAAAAUAUAUGUAUAAAUAAAUAAAAGAAGAAUAACGAAAAUCGUAUAUGUUAUUAACCAGAUGCAUUAUACGUGGGAAUGAAUUUGGGGACUGCGCAAUAAAGUUUCAGUCUUGCUAGUAUUUCCAAAGACCAACUUUUUUUUUUUGAUCAAUUCCAAAGACCAACUUAAAUGUAAAAACACAGACCUUUUUCAAGUCUACAGAUUUUUUUAACAAAUUAGAGGAGGACGCGUAUCCUUUUUGUCGUUUUCAUCUGAGAAUAUCUUCUUUCCCUCUCUCGUUGUUGCCUUGCCCUCCCACAAAGAUCCAAAAAAGAACUAUAAAGCUAAAAUCUCAGAGAGCCAGAUAGAGUAUUAUAAAGUAGAAGAAACCCUAACAUUAAGUAGCUUUGAAACUCCCUUUGCUGAAUCAUGGCAGCCGUCCCUGAAGGAUAUUACGAAUCCACAAACCCGUUUCUAGUUCACGGGCCAAGAGGUUUUGAGGAGUUCAAGUUGCUUGAGAGUUUUGGCAUGUACGUGAGGAUGGACUUUCCAGGCGUUCCGGAGGAGUGCGUGAGGAUUUCUCUAGACCCGGCGAAGAAAUCUUUGGCUGUCUACGCAGAUGCUCCCAAGGUCCAUAGAUACGACCUCGCUCAACGGAAGUACCUCUCCGUCAUCGAAACCGUCUGCAGUUGCUGCGCGUUCGACCGCUUCACUUACCAAAUGUCAGACGGUGUUUUAAGGCUUCAUCUCUCCAAGUCUAACAUCGAUCAACGUCGCUCUUCCUGCAUCGGUACGUACCAGACUUGUCUUUUUCUAUUUUCUUGUUCUUCAUACAUUUAUAUUUAUUAAUUAGAGUAUAGGUGAAUGAUUAAAUUAUUUUUCUGAUUCUUUUUGUUUUUUCACAGAGUUUAAAUAUUCUGCUUUCGGAGAAGGUAUGUUUACAUUUAUUCCAUUUCAAUCGAUAUUUUGAAAAAAAGUGUUUACUCAUUUGUCUGUGUUUGUGCUCGUAGAUAUCUCUGGCAAUGACAUGGACGAGUCGUAUGAGUCGAAGCAGCUCGAAGACGGCAAUGUAUACGUGCGUUUAGACAUGCCAGGCGUUCCCAAGGACAACUUCACUGUCUCAGUGGCUAACGGCAAAGUAAACGUGACUGGUCAAGCUCCUGCUCUUAGCCACGACUCAGGUUCUCGGUUGUACUCUGCUGACGUGGUUAUGCUCUCCGGUCCUGUCGACUUUCCUAGCCAUCGGGUCAAAACCAUCAUCAAGAACGGUGUCAUCCGACUCCUCGUCCCUCCCGUUUGAUAUCAUUAAUUAUGAUGAUGACGUGGCUAAAUAUAUGUUUCUUUCUGUUUGUUAAAUUUGUCUUCAUGAGUGGACCUAUUUUGUUGGGAUUGAUUAAUAUUCCAAAAAGUAACAUUACUUCAAUUUGUGUAGGCAUGCACUCUAUCUUUUUUUUUUAUAUGAAUAUAUGUCUAACCAAAUAAAAACAGUAUGAUAAUAAUUAUGAACAAAUGUAAAGUGUAUUUUAUGUGUGAAGGCAUGCAUUUAAUUACGCAGUGUACGAUAAAGCUGAAAACUUACCAAAUUAAGGCAAAGACCAACUUUGUUGUCUAUCUUGAUACAAGACAAAAACCUCAGAGCUUUCACCAGAGUAGAAACGAAAAGAUGAAAUUAAUAAAACUUAUACGUUUGUAUAUUAGCGGGUAAUUAAUAAGAAAUAUGAUAUUUUGCGUGUCACUGGAAAUUGUUGGUAAAUAAAAGGCGAACACGCAUCCUAGUAUAUACAGAUCGCAUUCACAAAUGUAAAGUCGACACGUGUCGUCAGAGGGAUUAGUUGUCAUUUUCACCUGACAACCUCCCAUACUAUGCUUGUUUUAGAGCUUAGUCUCAAAAAUUCAAAAACCCUAGAGAGAGAGAGAUCUCAAAAAGAAAAAGCACUAAAACCCUAAUUAGUCUCAAAAAUUCAAAAACCCUAGAGAGAGAGAGGUCUCAAAAAGAAAAAGCACUAAAACCCUAAUUAAAAUCACGACUAUACUCAAUGUCAAGGAGGUUAUAAUCAACCCUAGCCUUAUUUUAUUAUUCUUAAAAUCUGUAAUGUCAAUUGACUGACAUAUACUAUUAGUUUGUUACUAUAAUAAACCAGCAUUACAAAGACGUCCAUAAUUGCUACUGGGUUAAUAAGCGCAAGAAAUUGCUUCACAAAUAAGAAGUGGACGCGUGCCCCCUCUCUAGCAGUGUAAUUGUUUUUGUCGUUUUCACCUGACAAUAUCUUCUUACCCUUCUCGUUGCCUUGCCUCUUUUUCUCUCCCAUAAAGAUCAGCACGUGAGAGAGAGAGAGAGAGAAGCAACCCUAAUAUCCAGUAGCUAAAAACCUCGCCCCAUCUGUUGAAUCAUGGCCGCCGUUCCUCUUCCUGCCGUCCCUCAGUCUCCCGGUAAACUUCUUCUCUGAACCAAUAAGAAGCUCAAAUCUCAUUCAGUUUUCUCGUUUACUGAGAUGAUUGAUUUUCACUGAUAUUUAUAUCUUCUCUGUGUUUGUUUGGUAGCAGAAGGGUUUUACGCAAUCAACAACGAGUUUCUCAUGAAUGGGCCAAAAGGGUUUCAGGAGUUCAAGAUUCUUGAGAACGACAUCAUGUUCGUGAGAAUGGAUUUUCCCGGCGUUCCAGAAGAUGGCGUUAGUGUUACUCUUGAUCAGUCCAAGACACUUGUGAGUGUCAGCGCCAAGGCACCCAGGUUCCAUACACACGACUUGUCUCACCGGAACUACUUCAUCAUCACCGGACUCGGAUGCGGAUGCUGCGAGAUCUCCGGCUUCACCUACCACAUGACCGACGGUGUUCUCAGGCUUCAUCUCUCCAAGACUAACAUCCUCCAUCCUCAACGCCCUUCCUGCAACUGUGACCCAUUAAUUAUCUAUUUUAGUUUAUUAUAUAUACGAAUCAUUCUAAAUUUUACUUGUUUUUUUGGUCAGCGUUUCUCGGUGGCAUACGUUUCAGAGGAGAUGGUAAUUUUAUUUUAUUUUCUUUUGAAUUUUUUCUUACACUUUGUAAAUGUUUCUAUCUUACUCUCCUCUAUGUGUGGUCGCAGAUUUCAGUGGAUGUCCUCAUAGGCUUCCCUAUAACAGGGAUCCCUAUCGUAUGUGUUAAUUUUUAAUUAACACUACUGUAUAAAAUUAAUCAUUAUGAUUCAGUAAUAUGUUUGGUUUAUUAAUUUGUCAUUGUGGUAAUUGCUAUAUGUGUGGAAGAGCAGACCCGGCUUUAACGGGUCCGGUGUUGAUGCGUCACCCGAAUGUGGCUGAAGGAACGGCUAUGGCUUAUGAGUCAAAGCAGCUGGAGAACGGCAGCCUAUACGUGCGUUUAGACAUGCCAGGUGUUCCCAAAGACAACUUCAACGUCUCCAUUUCGAGCGGGAGAGUGAAGGUGACUGGUCAAGCUCCUGCCGUUAGCCAUGACUCCGAUGGUCGCUUCUACUCUGGUGACGUGGCUAUGCUUUCUGCUCCUGUAGACGUUCCUAGCCGUCCGAUCAAAACUAUCAUCAAGGAUGGUGUCAUUCGCCUCCUCAUCCCUUCCGUUUGAUGUGAAAAAACGCGUUUGCGUUUGAAAUAAUUUGAGUGGACCCCAGUUAUUGUCGUUAUUUUGAGGAUUAUGUUAUGUCACUUUAUUUUUUGGACUUUUGGAUAUGUUCACAAAUGGUUUUCUCUAAAGCCCAUUCUCUUUAUGAACAAGUAAUGUUUUAACAAGACUCAUCAGUUUCAUUCCUCAAGAGUGCAUGGGUGCACUAUACAAGUUCAACAAAGCUAGAGCUAAAACCGUAACAAUAAAUCGAAAAAAUGAGAGACUAAACAAAUCAGAGCACCAUUAAUGCAGUUUCUAACGUGGGUUUUUAAAGAAAAUGGGGUAUUUAAUUAAAUCAAAACAAAAAGAAAUUAGAGUAGUCGAUCCUUAAUUGGGUGUUUUUGUAACCGAUCGUAUAUGGGUUUCUGUAAACACGUGUCGGCAUAUGUGAUUUUUCCUUUUUUUUUUCUUUUUCUCUUCCUUUUCUUUUUUUUUCCUUUCUCAUCUCUUCUCUUUGGUUUUCUCGUGAUCUCCGUCGGGAAGCUGAUUGAAUUUCUCAACGAAAGUGUCACCUCCGUUCAAUCGGCGUAUCCUCCGGUCAAUCGCCGUCAGGUCCAUCUGAUGCUGAAGCGUAAGUCUCUGAUCCCCAAUUUCUCUUCUCCAAUCCUCGAUUUAUUUUUCUUAAUAAUUAUAUAUAAAUUCUUCUUUUUUUUUCUUGCAGCAAGAAGAUUCGUCUCAGCCAUAAGGUAAAUUAGAAACCCCAUAUUCACUUUUGCUUAAAGCUUCGAACUUUAGGGUUCUUGAUGGGGUUUAUGCAAACUAAUUGACAUGUUUGAUUUUAGUAAAGUCUCUAUAUUUUGUUGUUUGUUCACGUAUAGUGAUCCCUGCCUUGCUCAUGAUUGGUUGAUAUGAAACAGUUUGAUCGUUUUGAUCUGUGUUUAAAAAGGCGAGCGCCUUUUGCGCCAAGGCGCAAGGCGCACUCAGGCGACAGCCCCAUCGCCAUGCACCUCCCAGGUGAGGGUAUGGUCACUAAGGCGCGCGCCAUGGAGCGCCUUGACCUUAAAUCUAAUGCGCCAAAAGCGCUUGAAAGGCGCGCCUUAUAGAUUCUAAUCUAAAGCAUUAUGUUUUGACUCUCCCUGUGUUCUAAUCAUGAGCUUCGUGGCAUAGCCGCCGCUCUGUAACUUUUGUGACAUACUCAGGUGAAGAAGACGAUAUAAACUAACCUAAUUAACCCUAAAUAAUAAACCAACCCGGUUUAUAAUAUUAACCCAUGUGCCUUUCAAUUUAAUUUUAAUGAACCAACUUAACAAUAAACUAAGUAAUCCAAGAUGAAAGUUUAAUGAACCAAUUUUGAACCAACAUGAAACCAAAUAAACCAACUUUAACCAACUUUCUAGAAGGACACGCUUAAGAAUUGAGAACUAAAAUAAUGUCCGCAAGGCGAGCGCUUUUGUGCGCCAUGGCGCAUGGCGCAAGGCUAGGAGCAUCUCGCCUUGGUUCGCCUAGCGCUUUUUAAAACACAGGUUUUGAUGCAUUUUGAUGAUAUGAGCUAGUUAGUUGUUUCUUCUAGUAUCACUGAUGUUCUGUUUUAUCUAGCUUGAUCGACUCAUUUGCAUGGGUUUAAUUUUUAAAUGUGAACUGUUCUGUUCCAUAAAAAACUCAAGUCUUUAAUUAUGAUGUGUCGUGUUGGCUUUGUAAGCUUGGUUUUGUUGUUGUUAGCAUACACAUUCUGCUUUGGGUUGUGUGUGUUGCGAUUGACACAUAGCUUUUCUUUGGGAGCAGCAUUCAGUUCUCCGACGUCUAGCAAGUAUAGCUUUGAGUUCUCAGGUGGUGGUGGAGGAGGGAAAGGAAGAAGAUUCGUGGAGGUUUUGGUUGGGUUCGUAGUCGAGAGGUACUUUACUGUCUCUUCUUUUCUGAUGCAUUUUUGGUUCUUUGGCAUUGGAUCAUCUUGAGUGGCUUGGUGCUAUGUUUUGUAGAAACUAGUGUUUGGAUUAGUCGUCAGGAAAUUUCAGUUCUGAUAUUGAGGCAGUUUGUGUGUAGUCUUUUACUAAUCAUGAGAUUGAUCAAUGGAUAGAGCUUUGAAACUUGUAACUUUUUUUUUUGUUUCCACCACUCAUGUGUUUUUGUGGGGUUUUUUUAUAAGAAUUCUUAAUUAAGAGACUAGCAUUGGAGCACUAAACUAAUUGUUUCAAAAUGUUAUAUUUUAAUAUGUUUUAUUUUAUAAAUAAUUUUAUGUAACAAAAAAAGUUUAUAAUUUUUUUUAAGAACCUUUAAUUAAGAAACUACCAUUGGAAGUACAAAAUCGAACAGUUUCUUAACUAGAUUUCUUAACUCCACCGAAGUACACUUAUAUAUUUAAAUAUUCAUUAAGAAACACUAUAGAGUUUCUAUGGAUAAAGAUGCUCUAACACAACAGCAAGUAAGGAUGUGUCAACAAAUAUUUAAAUACUGUAUUUAAAAAAAAAGAAGAAGAAAUAAACCAAAUAUGAAAAAGUGAAUAGAGUUAAGACACGUCAUCGUUUCGCACGUGUUAACUCGUGGUUGAUGGAGAUAAUUGUUCGUGUUAACACGUGUGACCUAAGCAGAUUUGUUGUUCUUCUCCAUCUCUCGAGGAUUGGAGUUUUCAUCUCUUUCCCGUCAAAAUUUUCCUCUGAUUCUCCGGAAGCUGAAUCUGAAACACCCAAGGUAAGCUAGUAUCUUUAUCUCUUCUUUACGAACAUGUAAAUGAAUCGGAUUCGUUGAUGGAGCAAUGAAAUUGAUUUCAUUUAGAAAGGUUCUCUGUGAUUACGGAGUUUCUGAUUCAUUUCGUUAUGCUCGCAUGUUUUGUUUAAUGAUUUAAUUACAUGAUUUUGAUUCGAGCUAUUACCGAAUUAAGAUUCGAGUUAAGGCUUUGGUAAUGAAUGAAUGAAUGUUUCAGCUAAAGUUUGCUCAUUUCUGAGUUUUGGUAUAAUCCUAUUAUUAUGAUGCACUUAGAUCUUUUGAAAAUGAUGUUUGAUUAAUUGGGUAUUAAGAGAGUUUCAGUUUUGAAGAUGCUCAUGUUAACUCCCCUUGUAAAGUUUGUUCCUUUGAAGAUGCUCAUGUUAUCUCUCUCGUUGUAAAGCUUGUUCUUUUCUGCUGGAUUAUCAUGUUGGUCUGAUUCAGUUUUCUUUUGCAGGUAUCAAUCACUUCUUCUAGCCACCUCUCUGAGUAUAACAGGGUGGAUCAAAAUGGCUGCUUCAGAAACAGUUCUACGUCUUCCAUUGGGAUCUUUAUUUUCAUCUUGUCAUCUGCCUUCUUUCUCCCUUAACUCCUCUCCCCUCCUCUCGUUCAAACCCUCCUCUAGUAGAAAGCGAAGGGGCUUAAGGUGUACCAACACUUUGGCGAGAGGAGACACGUUUCAGAGCCCUGACUGUGUUUUCAAGGGUAAGAAGUUGCAGUCCACGAGAUGCAGAUGCCAAAGAAACGACGUUGAGGAGGACAUCAGAUCCAACUUACUUCCUUCUGACGGGUUGAAAAGCGACUUGGAUGAAAUGCCUCUACCUGUUAAUGGAAAUCUUUCGUCCAAUGGUAGUACUCAAUCAGCUGGAACGAACUCUAUCGAGGACGAAGCUUGGGAUCUCUUGAGGCAGUCCAUUGUUUACUACUGUGGUAGUCCUAUUGGAACCAUCGCUGCUAAUGACCCCAACUCCACCAGUGUGCUGAACUAUGAUCAGGUCUUCAUUCGUGAUUUCAUUCCCUCGGGGAUUGCCUUUCUUCUUAAAGGAGAGUAUGACAUUGUCCGCAACUUCAUCCUUUACACCCUCCAAUUACAGGUGACAGAAUCUCUCUCUUGUUAUAAAAGAUUGUCAUGUUGAAGCUAUUUGGUUUUGUUAUGAGUUGAUGAUGUAAUGCUUAUUGAUGACCAGAGUUGGGAGAAAACCAUGGAUUGUCAUAGUCCUGGUCAAGGAUUGAUGCCUGCUAGCUUCAAGGUGAAAACGGUUCCUCUUGAUGGUGAUGAUUCAAUGACAGAGGAAGUCUUAGAUCCUGAUUUUGGGGAAGCGGCAAUUGGACGUGUUGCUCCCGUUGAUUCUGGUAAGAGAAGCUAAGUUCUAAUCUUUCAAGCAUGUGGAAAAGGAUACUACAGAUUUGUUCUGGUAUCAUGUUAACUUGAUUAUCUUUUUUCAUUUGUUUUGGAACUCCAGGCUUGUGGUGGAUUAUAUUACUGAGAGCAUAUGGAAAAUGCACUGGCGAUGUGUCCGUGCAGGAGAGAGUCGAUGUGCAGACCGGAAUCAAGAUGAUCUUAAAGCUCUGUCUCGCUGAUGGUUUCGAUAUGUUCCCUACUUUACUAGUAACUGAUGGGUCCUGCAUGAUAGACCGUCGAAUGGGUAUCCAUGGUCACCCCCUGGAGAUUCAGGUGUGUUACACUGUUAACUUCAAUUCGAAUCUGCCAGCCAUUUGAUUUUAACUUUACACUUUCAGGCACUGUUUUACUCAGCUUUGGUAUGUGCACGUGAGAUGCUUACACCAGAGGAUGGAUCAACUGAUCUAAUCCGAGCCCUCAACAACCGCCUUGUUGCGUUAUCUUUCCAUAUCAGGGAAUACUAUUGGCUGGACAUGAAAAAGAUAAACGAGAUUUACCGGUACCAGACCGAGGAGUACUCUUUCGACGCGGUUAAUAAGUUCAACAUCUAUCCAGAUCAGAUCCCUUCGUGGUUAGUGGACUUUAUGCCCAACAGAGGAGGUUAUUUGAUUGGAAACCUUCAGCCAGCUCACAUGGAUUUCAGAUUCUUUUCCUUGGGGAACCUUUGGUCCAUUGUGAGCAGCUUGGCUACAAAUGAUCAGUCGCAUGCGAUUCUUGAUUUCGUGGAAGCGAAAUGGGCAGAACUUGUGGCAGACAUGCCGUUUAAGAUCUGUUACCCUGCAAUGGAAGGUGAAGAAUGGAGAAUUAUAACCGGAAGUGAUCCAAAGAACACGUAAAAGCUAUCUCUUCCAUAUGAUUUUCAAUAACAUGUUUUUAUAUUUUUCAUGUUGAGCAUAUUUGGUUUUGGUUGCAGUCCUUGGUCUUAUCACAAUGGAGGUUCCUGGCCAACUUUGUUAUGGCAGGUUUGUUCAGACUUUUCUCUUCUCCCUUUUAGAUUCCGAGCUUAUCAUUUUGAGCUCAUCAAUGUGAACUUCCGAAGCUAUAUAGCGUUGGUUUUGAAAUCUUGGUCCCUUGUUGGUGUUUUAUCAGCUGACAGUAGCAAGCAUCAAAAUGGGUAGACCAGAGAUUGCAGAGAAGGCUGUUGAGUUAGCCGAGAGACGGAUUGCUAUUGAUAAAUGGCCAGAGUACUACGACACCAAAAGGGCAAGAUUCAUUGGCAAACAGGCACGGCUUUACCAGACUUGGUCCAUCGCAGGCUACCUCGUGGCCAAGCUCCUCUUGGCAAAUCCAUCUGCAGCAAAGUUCCUCACCAGUGAAGAGGAUUCUGAUUUGAGAAAUGCCUUCUCUUGCAUGAUCAGCGCCAACCCGAGAAGGACACGAGGUCGCAAGAAGACUCAACAACCGUUUAUUGUAUGAAAAGCUCACAAAUCUUUUUUUCAAUGUGAGCCAUUGACUAUGUCCUCCUCCACUGUUCUGUCCCUUCCAACAGAAUGAUACAGAAUUCUUGUGUAAAUAGUUUCUUUUUAUCAUAUGCUAAGUAUAGUCAGUGCUUUGAUUUUGUUGCGGUAGUCCAACAAAAUUGGAUACACAUCUAAUUUUUUUUUUAUUACCACUUGCGUUUCGUCCCAUCGAACUAAAUUCAAACUGACAAGGCCAUGUGUUUGGCCGAUGACAUUUGGCUGGCUCAUUUCUGUGAGAUUUGCCCGUGGUAGAUGCAUGCAUCUAAAUUGUUAAGUUAUUAUAUAGUUGUCUGACUUAUGUCAGAGGCUAUUCAUAAUGAGAGCCAAAUUUGUCAAUAUCUAUUCAAAACAAAACUGCGAGCCUAUGCUAGAUCAUUAGUAGAUGCCUUGUUCUAAAAAGCGGCCGAGUUGCCGAGUAAUCGUCCGCAAAAUUGUGAAGCGUUGGGUCACCGUAGCGAGUUUGGCCAGUUCGGAUGCAUUCCACGCUCACCCGCGUUUUGACCGCCCAGAACGUGAUUUAAGGUUAUACGGCCGCGUAAUGUUUUUUUCUUUUAACUACCGCCGCGUAAUUUUGUUUCCGGAAACCUCAAAAAUCUCUGAAGAUGUUUCUAUUUGUAGAUCUGAUGUAAUUAUAGUGUACAAAUCAAGAAAAUCAAGUGAAAACAAAAAAAAAGAACAAAGAAAGAACCAUGGAUGGCCAUAGUUUAAUCGCAGAACCAAAGAAAAAAGAAGAAGAUGAAGACGUACGUGUAUCUUUUUAUAUUUAUUAAAACAAAGUAAAUAAUAAAAAACUAUAAAACACCAUAAUUCACGGGUUGAACCACAUUUUAGUAGGUCCAAAAGGUUUAACCAAAACAAUUGACCUAAGUUUUAAUAAUAUUUGGAAUCCACAAAUGAAGAUAUGUACUAGUGAGUACUAUAACCAUAAAAAAAAAUCCCCGAUUACUCCCCGAUUUAUUUCCGAUUUUUCGAUAAAUCGCUAGGCGCUGGUCAUCCGCACGCGUUGCGCCUAGCGAGUUUCCGAACAAGGAGUAGAUGUAUAGACACUGUUAACAAAAAAAUAUAUGUAUAAAUAAAUAAAAGAAGAAUAACGAAAAUCGUAUAUGUUAUUAACCAGAUGCAUUAUACGUGGGAAUGAAUUUGGGGACUGCGCAAUAAAGUUUCAGUCUUGCUAGUAUUUCCAAAGACCAACUUUUUUUUUUUGAUCAAUUCCAAAGACCAACUUAAAUGUAAAAACACAGACCUUUUUCAAGUCUACAGAUUUUUUUAACAAAUUAGAGGAGGACGCGUAUCCUUUUUGUCGUUUUCAUCUGAGAAUAUCUUCUUUCCCUCUCUCGUUGUUGCCUUGCCCUCCCACAAAGAUCCAAAAAAGAACUAUAAAGCUAAAAUCUCAGAGAGCCAGAUAGAGUAUUAUAAAGUAGAAGAAACCCUAACAUUAAGUAGCUUUGAAACUCCCUUUGCUGAAUCAUGGCAGCCGUCCCUGAAGGAUAUUACGAAUCCACAAACCCGUUUCUAGUUCACGGGCCAAGAGGUUUUGAGGAGUUCAAGUUGCUUGAGAGUUUUGGCAUGUACGUGAGGAUGGACUUUCCAGGCGUUCCGGAGGAGUGCGUGAGGAUUUCUCUAGACCCGGCGAAGAAAUCUUUGGCUGUCUACGCAGAUGCUCCCAAGGUCCAUAGAUACGACCUCGCUCAACGGAAGUACCUCUCCGUCAUCGAAACCGUCUGCAGUUGCUGCGCGUUCGACCGCUUCACUUACCAAAUGUCAGACGGUGUUUUAAGGCUUCAUCUCUCCAAGUCUAACAUCGAUCAACGUCGCUCUUCCUGCAUCGGUACGUACCAGACUUGUCUUUUUCUAUUUUCUUGUUCUUCAUACAUUUAUAUUUAUUAAUUAGAGUAUAGGUGAAUGAUUAAAUUAUUUUUCUGAUUCUUUUUGUUUUUUCACAGAGUUUAAAUAUUCUGCUUUCGGAGAAGGUAUGUUUACAUUUAUUCCAUUUCAAUCGAUAUUUUGAAAAAAAGUGUUUACUCAUUUGUCUGUGUUUGUGCUCGUAGAUAUCUCUGGCAAUGACAUGGACGAGUCGUAUGAGUCGAAGCAGCUCGAAGACGGCAAUGUAUACGUGCGUUUAGACAUGCCAGGCGUUCCCAAGGACAACUUCACUGUCUCAGUGGCUAACGGCAAAGUAAACGUGACUGGUCAAGCUCCUGCUCUUAGCCACGACUCAGGUUCUCGGUUGUACUCUGCUGACGUGGUUAUGCUCUCCGGUCCUGUCGACUUUCCUAGCCAUCGGGUCAAAACCAUCAUCAAGAACGGUGUCAUCCGACUCCUCGUCCCUCCCGUUUGAUAUCAUUAAUUAUGAUGAUGACGUGGCUAAAUAUAUGUUUCUUUCUGUUUGUUAAAUUUGUCUUCAUGAGUGGACCUAUUUUGUUGGGAUUGAUUAAUAUUCCAAAAAGUAACAUUACUUCAAUUUGUGUAGGCAUGCACUCUAUCUUUUUUUUUUAUAUGAAUAUAUGUCUAACCAAAUAAAAACAGUAUGAUAAUAAUUAUGAACAAAUGUAAAGUGUAUUUUAUGUGUGAAGGCAUGCAUUUAAUUACGCAGUGUACGAUAAAGCUGAAAACUUACCAAAUUAAGGCAAAGACCAACUUUGUUGUCUAUCUUGAUACAAGACAAAAACCUCAGAGCUUUCACCAGAGUAGAAACGAAAAGAUGAAAUUAAUAAAACUUAUACGUUUGUAUAUUAGCGGGUAAUUAAUAAGAAAUAUGAUAUUUUGCGUGUCACUGGAAAUUGUUGGUAAAUAAAAGGCGAACACGCAUCCUAGUAUAUACAGAUCGCAUUCACAAAUGUAAAGUCGACACGUGUCGUCAGAGGGAUUAGUUGUCAUUUUCACCUGACAACCUCCCAUACUAUGCUUGUUUUAGAGCUUAGUCUCAAAAAUUCAAAAACCCUAGAGAGAGAGAGAUCUCAAAAAGAAAAAGCACUAAAACCCUAAUUAGUCUCAAAAAUUCAAAAACCCUAGAGAGAGAGAGGUCUCAAAAAGAAAAAGCACUAAAACCCUAAUUAAAAUCACGACUAUACUCAAUGUCAAGGAGGUUAUAAUCAACCCUAGCCUUAUUUUAUUAUUCUUAAAAUCUGUAAUGUCAAUUGACUGACAUAUACUAUUAGUUUGUUACUAUAAUAAACCAGCAUUACAAAGACGUCCAUAAUUGCUACUGGGUUAAUAAGCGCAAGAAAUUGCUUCACAAAUAAGAAGUGGACGCGUGCCCCCUCUCUAGCAGUGUAAUUGUUUUUGUCGUUUUCACCUGACAAUAUCUUCUUACCCUUCUCGUUGCCUUGCCUCUUUUUCUCUCCCAUAAAGAUCAGCACGUGAGAGAGAGAGAGAGAGAAGCAACCCUAAUAUCCAGUAGCUAAAAACCUCGCCCCAUCUGUUGAAUCAUGGCCGCCGUUCCUCUUCCUGCCGUCCCUCAGUCUCCCGGUAAACUUCUUCUCUGAACCAAUAAGAAGCUCAAAUCUCAUUCAGUUUUCUCGUUUACUGAGAUGAUUGAUUUUCACUGAUAUUUAUAUCUUCUCUGUGUUUGUUUGGUAGCAGAAGGGUUUUACGCAAUCAACAACGAGUUUCUCAUGAAUGGGCCAAAAGGGUUUCAGGAGUUCAAGAUUCUUGAGAACGACAUCAUGUUCGUGAGAAUGGAUUUUCCCGGCGUUCCAGAAGAUGGCGUUAGUGUUACUCUUGAUCAGUCCAAGACACUUGUGAGUGUCAGCGCCAAGGCACCCAGGUUCCAUACACACGACUUGUCUCACCGGAACUACUUCAUCAUCACCGGACUCGGAUGCGGAUGCUGCGAGAUCUCCGGCUUCACCUACCACAUGACCGACGGUGUUCUCAGGCUUCAUCUCUCCAAGACUAACAUCCUCCAUCCUCAACGCCCUUCCUGCAACUGUGACCCAUUAAUUAUCUAUUUUAGUUUAUUAUAUAUACGAAUCAUUCUAAAUUUUACUUGUUUUUUUGGUCAGCGUUUCUCGGUGGCAUACGUUUCAGAGGAGAUGGUAAUUUUAUUUUAUUUUCUUUUGAAUUUUUUCUUACACUUUGUAAAUGUUUCUAUCUUACUCUCCUCUAUGUGUGGUCGCAGAUUUCAGUGGAUGUCCUCAUAGGCUUCCCUAUAACAGGGAUCCCUAUCGUAUGUGUUAAUUUUUAAUUAACACUACUGUAUAAAAUUAAUCAUUAUGAUUCAGUAAUAUGUUUGGUUUAUUAAUUUGUCAUUGUGGUAAUUGCUAUAUGUGUGGAAGAGCAGACCCGGCUUUAACGGGUCCGGUGUUGAUGCGUCACCCGAAUGUGGCUGAAGGAACGGCUAUGGCUUAUGAGUCAAAGCAGCUGGAGAACGGCAGCCUAUACGUGCGUUUAGACAUGCCAGGUGUUCCCAAAGACAACUUCAACGUCUCCAUUUCGAGCGGGAGAGUGAAGGUGACUGGUCAAGCUCCUGCCGUUAGCCAUGACUCCGAUGGUCGCUUCUACUCUGGUGACGUGGCUAUGCUUUCUGCUCCUGUAGACGUUCCUAGCCGUCCGAUCAAAACUAUCAUCAAGGAUGGUGUCAUUCGCCUCCUCAUCCCUUCCGUUUGAUGUGAAAAAACGCGUUUGCGUUUGAAAUAAUUUGAGUGGACCCCAGUUAUUGUCGUUAUUUUGAGGAUUAUGUUAUGUCACUUUAUUUUUUGGACUUUUGGAUAUGUUCACAAAUGGUUUUCUCUAAAGCCCAUUCUCUUUAUGAACAAGUAAUGUUUUAACAAGACUCAUCAGUUUCAUUCCUCAAGAGUGCAUGGGUGCACUAUACAAGUUCAACAAAGCUAGAGCUAAAACCGUAACAAUAAAUCGAAAAAAUGAGAGACUAAACAAAUCAGAGCACCAUUAAUGCAGUUUCUAACGUGGGUUUUUAAAGAAAAUGGGGUAUUUAAUUAAAUCAAAACAAAAAGAAAUUAGAGUAGUCGAUCCUUAAUUGGGUGUUUUUGUAACCGAUCGUAUAUGGGUUUCUGUAAACACGUGUCGGCAUAUGUGAUUUUUCCUUUUUUUUUUCUUUUUCUCUUCCUUUUCUUUUUUUUCCUUUCUCAUCUCUUCUCUUUGGUUUUCUCGUGAUCUCCGUCGGGAAGCUGAUUGAAUUUCUCAACGAAAGUAUCACCUCCGUUCAAUCGGCGUAUCCUCCGGUCAAUCGCCGUCAGGUCCAUCUGAUGCUGAAGCGUAAGUCUCUGAUCCCCAAUUUCUCUUCUCCAAUCCUCGAUUUAUUUUUCUUAAUAAUUAUAUAUAAAUUCUUCUUUUUUUUUCUUGCAGCAAGAAGAUUCGUCUCAGCCAUAAGGUAAAUUAGAAACCCCAUAUUCACUUUUGCUUAAAGCUUCGAACUUUAGGGUUCUUGAUGGGGUUUAUGCAAACUAAUUGACAUGUUUGAUUUUAGUAAAGUCUCUAUAUUUUGUUGUUUGUUCACGUAUAGUGAUCCCUGCCUUGCUCAUGAUUGGUUGAUAUGAAACAGUUUGAUCGUUUUGAUCUGUGUUUUAAAAGGCGAGCGCCUUUUGCGCCAAGGCGCAAGGCGCACUCAGGCGACAGCCCCAUCGCCAUGCACCUCCCAGGCGAGGGUAUGGUCACUAAGGCGCGCGCCAUGGAGCGCCUUGACCUUAAAUCUAAUGCGCCAAAAGCGCUUGAAAGGCGCGCCUUAUAGAUUCUAAUCUAAAGCAUUAUGUUUUGACUCUCCCUGUGUUCUAAUCAUGAGCUUCGUGGCAUAGCCGCCGCUCUGUAACUUUUGUGACAUACUCAGGUGAAGAAGACGAUAUAAACUAACCUAAUUAACCCUAAAUAAUAAACCAACCCGGUUUAUAAUAUUAACCCAUGUGCCUUUCAAUUUAAUUUUAAUGAACCAACUUAACAAUAAACUAAGUAAUCCAAGAUGAAAGUUUAAUGAACCAAUUUUGAACCAACAUGAAACCAAAUAAACCAACUUUAACCAACUUUCUAGAAGGACACGCUUAAGAAUUGAGAACUAAAAUAAUGUCCGCAAGGCGAGCGCUUUUGUGCGCCAUGGCGCAUGGCGCAAGGCUAGGAGCAUCUCGCCUUGGUUCGCCUAGCGCUUUUUAAAACACAGGUUUUGAUGCAUUUUGAUGAUAUGAGCUAGUUAGUUGUUUCUUCUAGUAUCACUGAUGUUCUGUUUUAUCUAGCUUGAUCGACUCAUUUGCAUGGGUUUAAUUUUUAAAUGUGAACUGUUCUGUUCCAUAAAAAACUCAAGUCUUUAAUUAUGAUGUGUCGUGUUGGCUUUGUAAGCUUGGUUUUGUUGUUGUUAGCAUACACAUUCUGCUUUGGGUUGUGUGUGUUGCGAUUGACACAUAGCUUUUCCUGUGUUUAAAAAGGCGAGCGCCUUUUGCGCCAAGGCGCAAGGCGCACUCAGGCGACAGCCCCAUCGCCAUGCACCUCCCAGGCUGGGUUCGUAGUCGAGAGGUACUUUACUGUCUCUUCUUUUCUGAUGCACUUUUGGUUCUUUGGCAUUGGAUCAUCUUGAGUGGCUUGGUGCUAUGUUUUGUAGAAACUAGUGUUUGGAUUAGUCGUCAGGAAAUUUCAGUUCUGAUAUUGAGGCAGUUUGUGUGUAGUCUUUUACUAAUCAUGAGAUUGAUCAAUGGAUAGAGCUUUGAAACUUGUAACUUUUUUUUUUGUUUCCACCACUCAUGUGUUUUUGUGGGGUUUUUUUUAUAAGAAUUCUUAAUUAAGAGACUAGCAUUGGAGCACUAAACUAAUUGUUUCAAAAUGUUAUAUUUUAAUAUGUUUUAUUUUAUAAAUAAUUUUAUGUAACAAAAAAAGUUUAUAAUUUUUUUUAAGAAUCUUUAAUUAAGAAACUACCAUUGGAGGCACAAAAUCGAACAGUUUCUUAACUAGAUUUCUUAACUCCACCAAAGUACACUUAUAUAUUUAAAUAUUCAUUAAGAAAUACUAUAGAGUUUCUAUGGAUAAAGAUGCUCUCAGCAACACUCAAUUUCAUUACUCAAACUUCAUCAAAACAAAAACCUCAAUCGAGGCAUUUCUCCAAAAGGUUACCAUUUAUAAAAAAAACAUCAAAACAAAAACACCAAUCUUAACAAAUUCAGUUUUUUUUUUUCUAACAGAGAGUGAGUUGAAUUAUUUGCAACUAUUUUUUUUUUUUCAAAUGAUAACCUUUUGGUGAAAUGUCAAUUUUAUCCAAUUAUUCUUUUAACUGUGUAACCAUUUGCAUCUCAGACAAAGAGAUUUGUCUGCUAUAUAGUUCUAGCUCUAGUGAAACGAAGGGACAAUGACGGCUGAUGUGGUGGUUGUGGAUGUGCAGAGAGAAACUUGGUUGGGUUUUAUGUAGCUCUAGCGAUGGAUAAGUUGGUGACAUGCAGAAAAAUUGGUUGCUUGGGAAAAGGGAGAGAGGUGUAGGCGCGUGUAGCUCGAGAGCGUAGACAAUAAAUAGAUGAAGACAAGGAAGAAGAGAGGAGAAAAAUUAAGAAACCGUUGAUAAUGUAAAUUUUACUUUUCCCAUGUCUCUUCCUCCUGAUCAUGCAUUUGUUAUUUCUUGUGGAUAAUGAGGAGCUAAUUAACACGUUGAGUUCAUGUAAAAUGCUCUUCCAAUAGUUGAAAACAAGCUAGAACUAGUUGCAAAUUUGUGGUCGUCAAUAAUAUUGCGACACACACCCCGAUGCCUAUGGGGGAAAAUAAAAGCAACUUAAAAUCUAUAUGUGAUUGAUAGAGGAGGACACUCAUAGAGCAGUUUGAACGGUGUUUAGCUUGCCGUUAAAAGCCCAUGUACGAGCAGUGCCGGUCCGGACUUACGUGGUGCCUAAAGCAAUUUAAAUUUUUUUUUUUUUGUAAACUGGCCUUCUUAAUUUAAAUGCAAAAGAAAUAAAAUACAUCAAGCCCAAGGCUUAAGUUUGUUAUGAGUAAACCCAGUGUUAUACUCUUAAUGAAAACACAUAUUUUAGGAACUGAAGCCCAAGUAACAGUCGUAGCCCAGAGUUGAGAAUCAAAGUUGAAACCGUGGAAAGUGGAGAAGAAUUGUCGAGAAAGUCUGCACAUUGUCUUGGCCAUGAGAGAUUAUGAACGGAGGAACCAAAGCUGUGUCAUCGCGGAAGACGCCCUAGGGUUUGCAUGUCAGAAGCUUUGGAGACGGUUACGGAUUUGCUUGUCUAUGAGUGAUAUUAACGCACCCGGAGGUCUGAAGAUUUGGUGGUGGAGACGUGUGUUACGCUCAUUCCAGAGCCAGUAAAUCGUGGCUUGAGUUGCUAGUAGUCGAAGACGAAGAGAAUCGCGAUUCCCUCGGAGAGCCAGGAGUUGAUUGAGAUUGUCGUCCCAUGAGGCAUGAGCUUGCAAAUCGCAUCGAUAUGCUAUCUGAUUCCAGACCGUGACACUGUAACGACACUCAAAGAAAAGGUGAUUUCUACUCUCAUGAUCAGUGUUGCAAAAUAAGCAUAACGGAUCUACAUUAAGACCCCAUCUUGUUAACCUGUCUCUUGUAGGACAUCGAUCCAGUAGGACUAACCAAGUGAGGAAGCAGUGUCGGGGGAUUCCGUAUGAGAACCAGACAAUCUUAGCCCAAGGAACUAGUGGCUGCGGACCCUUGAGGUAAGUAUAUGUUUCACCAGUUCUGUAACUGUGUCUAACUCUUCCAUCAAUCUCCCAUUCGAAAUAAUCCUCCUCAUCUAGUAAUUCUACGGUAGUAAGGUGUACCUGAAGCGCUAAUUGAUUGUCAGUUCUUGCUGCAGGGAUAUUCCACCGGCCUUCAGUAUAGAGAGACGCCACCGUUGCUGUCCUCGAGAUUCCAAGUCUGGUUGAAUUACCAUUCAAGAAUGUGUGAAGAUUUCCCAGAGGUGACCAGUUAUCAAACCAAAACCGUGUGGUUUGUCAAUUCCCAAUACGUCGUUUAAGCAGCGGGUAGACAAUAGCUCUAGCCUUGAUCAUCUUGUUGACUAGCCAAGAAUGGUUGGUGCUUGUUCCUAUCGUCCAGUAGUUUGAUACGUCGCCUUUUAGGAUUACCUCCUUAAACCAGCAGACCCACACAGAAUUCGGGCGAAAGAAGAGCAUCCAGAUAAGCUUCAGUAUGCACGCAAGGUUCCAAGUAUGAAGGUCUUUAACUCCCAGUCCUCCCUGAUCUUUGGUAAGUGUUACUGUCUCCCAACUUACUCUAGCAGUAUGGUGACCUUCGCUCUUGCCUUUCCAAAGGAAUAUGCCACACAGUGAAUUGAUUUUAUUGAUGCAUGACUUUGGUAGGAUGAAGCUGGAACACCAAAAGGUCGUAACACCCGAGAUCACCGUUUUUAUCAAGAGUAACCGCCCCGCAAAUGACAGAGCCUGAGCUGACCAGGAGGAUAGACGCUUCUUAAUCUGCUGAAGUAGAGGCUCGCAGUUCUGCAAGUUGAGCUUUUUCGUACACAGAGGGACUCCGAGAUAUCGCAUUGGUAAUGAACCACACGGCAUCCCCGUCGAAACUUGGAUAGUUGCAAUAUCUUGCUCUGUAAGUCCCGAAGCAAAAAAACUAGAUUUUUGCAAACUCACAGCCAGACCUGAUCUCUUUUCAAAUUCGUGCAGUAGCUGGAGCACCCUCUGAACGGACUCAAGUGACCCAUCAAUGAAGAUCAGUAGAUCGUCGGCAAAGGAGAGAUGAGUUAGCUUCGUUUUAUGGCACUGAUGAUGGUAAGAUAUAUAUCCUGCCCUCGCUUCUUUAUCCAACAUCAUUGACAAGUAGUUCAUAGCAAUGACAAACAGGUAGGGAGAGAGUGGGUCUCCUUGCCUUAGUCCCCUUUUUCCUUUGAAGAAACCAUUCACCGUGCCAUUGUAACCCACCAUAAAUGUUGUCGUGCAGAUGCAAGCUUUCAGCAAUCGGAUGAAAGGAGCAGGGAGAUCUAUACUAUCCAACGCUGUGAACAGAAACUCCCAAGAGAGAGUGUCGAAAGCUUUUUCUAUAUCGACCUUAAUGGUAAUCUUCUUAGUUCCUUUGUUCCUGUGGUAGCCAUUCACUAGUUCGCUAGCCAAUACAGUAUUUUCCACUAGGAGUCUACCCUCAACAAACGCUGUUUGAUUGGGCAAGAUUAGCUGACUAAGAAUAGGCUUUAGACGUCUCACCAGCAACCGUGAAAUGACUUUAUAGAGGGUAUUCAGACAGGAGAUAGGACGGUAGUCUGAUAUUGUAGAUGCUCCAGUGAACUUAGGAACCAAAGACAAGAUCGUUGAAUUUGUGGUUUUUGGCAGGAACCCUGAGUCGAAAAAAUCUUGAAUCGAGUUGACACAUUCCGCACCUAGAAGAGACCAAGAAGCUUUGAAGAAUCCAGAGGUGAGUCCAUCAGGCCCCGGAGCUUUAUUUGGGUUAAGGGAAAACAUUAGCUUAGUGAUCUCUUCAUUUGUAGGCAUCAGGAGGAUUGAGUUUAUCUGCUGCUGGCUGCAUCUGACAUGCGUGAGGCUACGAAACCAAUCAGCCGGAGUGUACCAGAGCGAUGGGAGGGAAUCAGGUCCAAGAACACCUUUAAAGUGAGCUAUAGCGUGAGCACUCAUCUCCAGUGGGUCUGUGAUGAGAACACCUGACAAAAGGAGGAACGAGCGGAUUGCAUUGAAGCUAGCUCUCAUUUGGCAGACACGGUGGAAGAAGGUAGUAUUCAGAUCUCCUUCACGAAGCCAUGUUAUUCUAGACUUUUGCUGAAAGAAGCAUUCUUCAAUUUGCCAGAGAAAUUGCCAUUUCAGAUUAAGAUCAUGUUCUUCAGCAAAAUUUUCAGGAGUUGGAUCUGACAAGGCUUGUACCUGCACAAGUUGUAACAAACGGUAAGCUUCAUUAACUCUCUGUUGGAUAUUUGAGAAAUUUUCUUUAUUAAGAAUUUUAAGACUCCUUUUAAUGCUUUUCAGCUUCCAACACAGAGACGCAAAGUUGGCAGACACACUUCCGGCGAGCAACCAUGCAUCAGUAACAACCUCCAGGAAGCUCGGGUGUUUGGUAAGGUAGUUUAGGAAGCGGAAGGGUUGAGUUCCUGCUUUAGGGAGUUGGAAGGCUAGGUCAAUAAGGCACGGGGAGUGAUCUGAAGGGGCAGGAGGGAGGAAAGUUGCAGUGGCAUUAGGAUAACUGGUAAGACACUCACUGUUGAUCAAACAUCUGUCUAGUUUCUUUGCAAUUGGGGAGCCGUCACAUUUGUUUGUCCAUGUGUGAACAGGGCCAUAGAAUCGAAGAUCAAACACUCCCAUCUGUAGUAAACUAUCACGGAAUUGGAACAUUUGCGAAGAAUGUGUACUGUGACAGAAGGAUGAAUGCUCGUAAGGGUGAAGAAUCUGGUUAAAGUCCCCUCCUACCAUCCAAGGCCUUGAAUCCAGAUCAUGAGCAGAAUGCAAGUUCAAAAGCUCCACCCAAAGGUCAGUUCUCUCUUCAAUGGUAUUUGAAGCGUAGAUGGCAGAGUAGAUGAUAGGAGUACAAUUAGGCAGCUCAAUCUCACAAGUAAUCAUUUGCCUUGACUGUGUUAUCACUCGAACUUUUGCUGGAUCCUUCCAAAUAAGCACGAUUCUCCCAUCUUCAUCAGAUGAAUGGUUAGAUAGAUAGUGCCAGUCUCGACAUAGGGUAGACAUCAAACGGGAUAGAGAUAGUUCCUUAAUAUGUGUUUCCAAUAGAGCACCAAAAAUGGGUCUGUGACUAUAAAGCCAAUCCGAAAAUGUCCGAUGUUUUACCGGGUCAUUUAGACCACGGAGGUUCCAAAAAAAGAGUUUUACACUCAUUAUGUAGAAAAAGAGGGUUCCCCAGUAGACUGGAGAGGGUCAGAAACAGUUAGAAGAGGCAAAAAAGGGUUAUUUGUGGAGGUAUUUAUGAAAGGGGAAUUUUCAAGGUACCUAAGGGUACCAAUCACGGGGAAUGAAAGGUCAGGGGACGGUUUAGAAGACUGAUAGAUGAUUUUGGGAGGUGCAGUAGGGGAAAUGGUUGGGGAGGAACGGGUUCUUUUUAAUGAUGGUUUUUGAGGUUUGUCCGAAGAAAUGUGAGCGGUGGAAGGGAAAAUCUUCUGAUUUGGCAUAGGGACAAAAGAGGGAGUAUUGAAAGCAGAGGGGCUAGUGGGAAGUGAAACAGUGUGGGUGGAAAGUAAGGGUUCAACGGUGAUGGGAGGGAAUGGUUUCUUGACAACAUACUGUUUGGUUUUUACAGAUUUUGUUGGAGUUUUUAUCGCCGAGUCUGAGAUCUUUUGCUUUGACUUAUCCACAGGAACUUUUGCUAUAGGAGGUGGAUCCUUUGGCGGUAUGUAGAGCAAACAAUUUUUCAUGAUAUGACCCAACUCAUGACAAUGAGCGCAUGUGGGAGGCAGCCAUGGAUAGUCCACUUGCACUUCAACAACUUCUCCACUCUGCCUUUGAAACUCCACUACAAUCGGNNNNNNNNNNNNNNNNNNNNNNNNNNNNNNNNNNNNNGGAAGAGGCUUGGUGAGAUCUACUUCCACCUUGACAUGAGAUAAGGUAAGACUCACUAGGUUUAGAGUAAAGUCAUCCGUUUCUUUAGGCUCUCCAAUCAACCCCGCAACUAGGCUAAGGCCUUGUUUAUAACGUAGGUCGAGAGGAACUCCAGUGAGGUGAGCCCAAAUCUGGAUAGAGCUAAGAAGAGGUGUUGUGGAGGAAUGCACAGAAGACCAUUGAGCGGUAUGAAACAUCGAAUCCCCCACAUACCAUAUAUUUUUUUCCAAGAUCUUCUGUCGAAGGAAGUCACUAGGGAUCCUAACCAGAACUGAGCGUUGUAGAGGGUUGUUAUGCAUCUCAAGCCUUCUACCUUUACCCCACAUAUGACAGAGAACACUUUGGAUCUGCUUGAAAGGUGGGGGGGGGGGGGGGGGGGGGGGGGGGGGGGGGGGGGGGGGGGGGUACGUACUGUGGGAACCAAAAUUCUCNNNNNNNNNNNNNNNNNNNNNNNNNNNNNNNNNNNNNNNNNNNNNNNNNNNNNNNNNNNNNNNNNNNNNNNNNNNNNNNNNNNNNNNNNNNNNNNNNNNNNNNNNNNNNNNNNNNNNNNNNNNNNNNNNNNNNNNNNNNNNNNNNNNNNNNNNNNNNNNNNNNNNNNNNNNNNNNNNNNNNNNNNNNNNNNNNNNNNNNNNNNNNNNNNNNNNNNNNNNNNNNNNNNNNNNNNNNNNNNNNNNNNNNNNNNNNGGGGGGCGACCGUUAAAAUAACAGAUAAUGAAAUCUUUAUGAAGCUCUGCGCCUUUGUGAAAGACAGAGUUCGGGAUUAGCACACGAGGUCGACCAGUUUCAAAGAUAGUUACUGGAGCGAGUCUCUGGAGAGACUUGUCUCCUCUCACACGAAGAGUUUCCGCUAGAGUAGGAGCAGCAUUAUGGGUUUGGGGUUGGGGUUGGAAAAUAGGAGGUGGAUUUAGUUGUGGGGGGGCAGUGUGUGGCUGAGAGUUGGGAAUGGUGGAUCUUACAGGAGGGGAGAGCGGGAUCAGAAGGAGUUAGGGAGGUAGAGGCACUGUUAGAGAGCAGGGGAGAGUUGUGGUUUGGUUGAAGGAUUUUGAAAUUGGUGGGAUUUGGUUCUGAAUAAGGUAAGUUAAGCUUUUCCAGAGAGGGGGAAGGGUUAGUGGUUGAGGAUGAGGAAAGAGUUUUAGGGUUUCCUGUAGCAGGAACAGUGAGUAUAGAUUCAAUCUCAGCUAGCGAACCAAACUGAGUAGUGGCUUGAGAGAUGGCUGAAGCUGUAGUUGGGUGUUGAGCUUGAGUCAUAACAGUAUCAACAUGGGUGGUAGUGAGGUGGGAUCUACGAGUUUGAGAACGGGUAAGAGGAGGAGUGGAGUCUAAUGGUGGGAAAAGAUGGGGAGAAAGAGGGGACUGAGGGUCAGGGGGGUCAGGUGGUGGUAGGAGAGCUUCUCCGGAGGUUGAAGACGCUGGUUGCACGGCGGAAGCACGGCCAGGAAGGGCCCAACGAGUCUGCAUUGGUAAGCGCGUCAGAGAGAAACUGACUUUUUUUUUCUAUUUUUGUUUUUUGACAGCAAUUUAAAAAUUUGAUGCCCUAGUUAUAAGUUAUAACUAAACUUUUUGUACUGCAUUUUAAGUAUAUAAACAAAAUAAUGCAAUAUAUUAUUAAAUAUUAACUUGCUAUCAAAUAAAACAAAAUACAUACAGAAAAGUUAUUAUUCUUGAGAAAUAAUGUUGGUACUGAUUGAUUACUAAUCUUUGUUCUUGUGGCAUUUUCUAUAAAUAAAUAAAUAAACAUAAACAGUAUAAUAUGAUACAUAUGAUAAAGUUAUGUUAACAUCAACAUCAUUUCCCUUUAUAAAAUGUCUCACGGGAUAUUAGAACCUAAUUUAUGAUAAUUUGUAUGUUCAGAUUUCAUAAAUUCGUAGAAAUGAUAAAAACUUACAAAAAAAAUAUAAGUAGAGCAAAAGAGAGACAUAGAAAUGAUAAGAACCUACUGAUAAUUUAAUUCCAUUGUUAUAGUAUCUCUCUUGUUUACACAUCUAUUUUCUUCAAAAAGAAAAAAUAAAAAUAAAAAAUAAAGAUGGCAAGAAGAACGUCUAUUUAAAAUAAAUAACUAAAGUUUGCUAUCCGAAAAAACUAUCGUUUGCUUUAUUCAAUUGUUUAUUUAAUAUGCCAUUUAAUUUAAUAUUUAAGAUAAAAGAGACCAAAUUUAUCAGAAAUGGUAAGUAAACCGUCCUAUCUUUAAAUUGGGCAAAUUAAUUGCUAUUAAAAUCCAAAAACAAAAAUUAGUAAAAAACUCAGAUUUGAACCCACUACCUGAAGCACUAGAGAACGAGUACGCAAACCCUACAAUGAUCAAGUUGUAAAUAUUUGUCACCCCAAAAUUAUAUAUAAAUUCUGGUGCCUAAAGCGUUUGCUUUGCGGGCUUUAGCCCAUGGCCCGGCCUGUGUACGAGUUAAGAUGAUUGAUCAAGUAAAUUAAACAUUAAGAGCCUCUCUUUUAUUAUGGAGUAGUGCUAAUUUUACAUUAGCCUCAAACAUCCUAGAUAAAACCUUACAUAUUAUUAUGAAACACGCGAUGAGGUGUGGUGUUGACAUAUAUCGACAACCACAUUCAUACACUCGAGGGUUUCGUUUGGAAUCUAGUAGGAGGGCCCAGGCAUGGUCUUCUGGAAGGGACAUACGCUAACUUGCGGGAUUUUGCAAACUUUAGGUAAGUGAGUAGCUGUCUGGUAGAUACGGCUCACCAUUUGCUGCUUUCCUUGCUGUUGUCCCUGUUGCUGAAUUUGUUGUUUAACCGCUUUGGAUGCUCCUUUCAAGGUUGGGCAAACGCAAAGGGGCUCUUCCUGGUGGAGCUCGUUACAGCACUGCUGGAGUAGAGGCGGUCUCUGCUGUGGACCCUGGGGGUUCUCCAUGUCGUCUUCAAAGUCAAACUCACCGUCGAGGGUCCAGCUAGGACCACUGCCAGACUGCAUUGCUUGCUUGUGGAGCCACUGCUGGCAAGCUUUUAGGUGUUGUGCUUGCUGAAACUCCUUCCUACAUUUUGGAAUCCUAAAUGGGCCGGCUGGGUUUGUUGCAUCAUCUUCGUCGAACUCGACCACCGUCCGGUAGAUGGAGGCAUUGGUGAGAAGGAAGAAGAAGGCGAGAGUUGCCGAGACGAGGAAGAGCUUGUUCGCCAUUAGUGUAUGUUUUUAAUCUUGUUUGUAUUGAUGAGUUUUGGUUUGAGUAAAGAGUUAAGCGGAUGAGUUAAUUUAUAGGUGAUAAAGGAGAUUUGCAUGGCGAUCACGUGUAAUAAUGCAUGCACGCAUGUGAUUGUAUGUGUGUGCUGUGAGAGAGAAGCUCUUAGGUGUUUGAAGGGAGUGACAAGUGACGAACAAAAACAAUCCUCCGCGUCUGCAUGCUUUGUGUAACGUGUAGCUAAUGUUCUGGCAUGGCAUCUUAUGAGCGAUUCUUUUUAAAAACAAGGUAAAAACUUAACUUCAUAAAUUAAAAAAAAAACGUUUAGUAAGUUGGUUUAAAAGGGGACGAGAGUCUAAAAAUUUUGGAGGUAGUGCCGUUGGGAAUAUAAAUUGGGAGAGCUUAAUCAGAAUUAUAGAAGUUAAAGUUGAUUUAGUCACGGUCAAUAUAAAUUGGGAAUUUGAGUCAAAAUCUUCCAAAUUCGGAAUCCGUCUUGUUACACCCGGUGGUAGGAGCCGAACGGUUUGAAAAUACUUGAAAUGUGGAUGUACAGGCUGGUUUAAUUUUAUGUUGAAUGGAUACAUGUCAAUCGAAUUAUAGGUACACAUUUUACUCUAAUACUAAAAUGUAACAUUUGUCUCAUCCUUACUCAAGAAUGGUAGCUCAUCCUUACUCGAGAACGGUAUGCCAGUCACUUUAACGUAUAUCUCAUGAAACUCAACUCUAACACUUAUUUCAUACCCAUAUCUAAAAUAAAGAAAACUGAAGAAAAACGGUCAAUAGCAUCAAUCCUUACAAAUAUAAUGCACUUGGAAACCUCACAUGAAAAUAACAAUAAAGAGGAGGUGAAUAAUAUAAGUAGUCCGAAAUGAAGUCUAUGGACUUAGAAAUAACAUUCCAAAUAUAUAUAAUUUAAUCAUAACAUGAAACAAACACAACACCUGAAAUGACAUAGAACAAAUUAGGGACCUAGUUAUAAGAUAAAGACUGGCACACCUCUUUUUUUUUUUGUUCAACUACUGGCACACCUCUAAUAGAAGCUUUCCCUAUGGAGGAUUCAUGUAUGUGACUAGAACCCACACACCGCCCGAAAACGCUUUCUUUAUUGACCUCAUUUACUACAGCUCAACCUGUCGACUUAGCGAAGAGGAAGAGCAAAGAUCAAGCUAACUAAAUUAGGGCUCUUGUUUGAUGAAACUGAAUGAAUGAAUCGAGAGAUGAAUGAGAUCUUCAUAAGCGAAUUAAGAAUCGACAAGGAAAGUUGCCCAAUAAAUAUUUGACAUUUCUUAAUUUUAAGGCCAAUUGGGCCAGUAACAUAUGGUAUUUUGACAGAUAUAUAGAUCCCAGAAUAAAUACUGAAUCAGCAAAAAUGAAAUCAGAGAGCUAAACGCUGAAGAAUCCACAUCUGCGUUCAAACAGUUCAUCCUUUACCUCAAAUAAACAAACUGCCAAAUCUUUUAAAUAUCUCAAACGUAAACAAAAUAUGAAAAAGAGUCUUUGGGACAAACAAAUCAAAAUGGUCUUGACAGCAUAUUGACCCUUGUAUGAUUGAAAGCCACUGAGACCCUCCUGCCAUUAACACAUCAAAUCUUAUAGACACACUUUGAGAAAAUAAAAAUCGUGAGGCCAUCUCAGUGUUAGUGACUCGCCAUGAAGUAAAGGCAUACCAGGAGAGUUUUGUCAAAAAGACAUAAGCUUAUUAGAUAAUUGGAGGGUUUAACUCUUAUAUAUCAUGUGCAGAAUUUAAUUGGUCAACAAAGCAAAUGGAACCAUCCGAUAGAUGUUUUAAAGAACAAGAGGUACAUUUGUAUAUAUGCAUUGGUUGAUACGUUUCUGCCAUCUGAAUUGCUUCUUCCUCAAAGAAGAAGCAAUCACCGAUGAAUGCUAAAGGAUUCAGGUCUAUAUUUGGCUUCUACUAGGCUUGUCUCUACAGUAGACUUUAUUCACAAAUGCAAACAACUUCAAGCAAGGCAAGUGACAGGACAGAUAAUGCUUAGAGAAAGAGAAACCGUUGAAAAGAAGCAGAAAGCACAACUCCCUUCGACUAAUUAAUCUAGGAUUUGCACUGACCAUAUUACUUCAAAGAUAGUUCCAUUUCAAGAAACAUAAACAGAACUUGAAUGAGAAAAAUCUAUGAUCAAAUUCAAAGGGAAAUUUGCAAGAGUACAAAGACAGAUUCAGCAGCACCUAGAAAACCCCAAUUGAUCUGCGUAAAAUCCCAAUUCUCUCUUCUGUUUACAAAAAAAAAUCACGAUCCACACUCUUUUUUGAUUUUCAAAUCAAAACAAAUAAUCAGCCCUGAAUUAUACAGUAAAAUCCCGAUCAAAACGGGUUAAUAAUUUUAUGAAAUAAUACAAAAAAAAAGAAACAGAUUGAGAUCGGCAAAACCUCGAUCAAUCAAUCAAUCAAUCAAACAACAUCGUCCUUCUUGGGUUUCCGAUAAUUCUCUUCGAUGUGCUCGAGGAUGACGCGAACAGUGUUCGUCAGCUUCUUUACAUCGGGAACGUUGUAAUUCUGUGCAACGUAUACACCAUAAGCCGUUCCCAUCGUGAACACCAAGCAGCUCUUCAUUAUCCCCAUCCCCCUCUCUACGCUCCGUACUAGUGUUCUAUUUGCACUUGUACUAUGAUACUUUAAUGGGCCUUCAAUAUUUAUUUCUAAGGCCCAUAGUGGGCCCAAAUCAAAUGAAACCGGCAUGCUCAUUUCCGUUGGUAGACAGAUUAAGAUUAAGGGCCAGAUUGGUUCAAAUGCAGCGGUUGCGGUUGCGGAAGUUUGUGGAUGCGGACGGUUGCAGUUUCUAGCGGUUUUAAGAGAUUUGUACGACUGGUAGUGCGGUUAAAUAUUGGUGCGUUUGCGGGUGACUUAUGACUGGUUAACUACCAAAUGCGGUAACAGUCAAAUAAUAAAUUAACAAUAUUUAUAUUUAAUAUAAUUAUAAAAAUAUCAAAAAGUCAUAAAAUUAUAAUAAAUAUAAAAUUUAUAUUUAGAAAGUUAUAAUUUUAAUUAUUAAAAAUUUAUUAAAAUUGUUUUUAUUAUAAAAUUUUAUAAUAUUAAUUAAAAUAUAAUAGAUAUAUUUUAAUAUUUUCAUAAUUUCAAUUUUAUAUUUAAAAUAAAUAACUAAAGUUUGCUAUCCGAAAAAACUAUCGUUUGCUUUAUUCAAUUGUUUAUUUAAUAUGCCAUUUAAUUUAAUAUUUAAGAUAAAAGAGACCAAAUUUAUCAGAAAUGGUAAGUAAACCGUCCUAUCUUUAAAUUGGGCAAAUUAAUUGCUAUUAAAAUCCAAAAACAAAAAUUAGUAAAAAACUCAGAUUUGAACCCACUACCUGAAGCACUAGAGAACGAGUACGCAAACCCUACAAUGAUCAAGUUGUAAAUAUUUGUCACCCCAAAAUUAUAUAUAAAUUCUGGUGCCUAAAGCGUUUGCUUUGCGGGCUUUAGCCCAUGGCCCGGCCUGUGUACGAGUUAAGAUGAUUGAUCAAGUAAAUUAAACAUUAAGAGCCUCUCUUUUAUUAUGGAGUAGUGCUAAUUUUACAUUAGCCUCAAACAUCCUAGAUAAAACCUUACAUAUUAUUAUGAAACACGCGAUGAGGUGUGGUGUUGACAUAUAUCGACAACCACAUUCAUACACUCGAGGGUUUCGUUUGGAAUCUAGUAGGAGGGCCCAGGCAUGGUCUUCUGGAAGGGACAUACGCUAACUUGCGGGAUUUUGCAAACUUUAG